CUGGCGGUAGCCUACCAUGCACCCGAACGGCAGCACAGUAAGAGCUUGCUCUUAUGGGUGGCGAGUGGCGGACGGGUGAGGAAUACAUCGGAAUCUACCUUUUCGUGGGGGAUAACGUAGGGAAACUUACGCUAAUACCGCAUACGACCUUCGGGUGAAAGCAGGGGACCUUCGGGCCUUGCGCGGAUAGAUGAGCCGAUGUCGGAUUAGCUAGUUGGCGGGGUAAAGGCCCACCAAGGCGACGAUCCGUAGCUGGUCUGAGAGGAUGAUCAGCCACACUGGAACUGAGACACGGUCCAGACUCCUACGGGAGGCAGCAGUGGGGAAUAUUGGACAAUGGGCGCAAGCCUGAUCCAGCCAUACCGCGUGGGUGAAGAAGGCCUUCAGGUUGUAAAGCCCUUUUGUUGGGAAAGAAAAGCAGUCGAUUAAUACUCGGUUGUUCUGACGGUACCCAAAGAAUAAGCACCGGCUAACUUCGUGCCAGCAGCCGCGGUAAUACAAAUGGUGCAAGCGUUACUCGGAAUUACUGGGCUAAACGUGCUUAGGUGGUUGUUUAACUGUUGUGAAAUCCCUGGCAACCUGAUUGCAGGGAUACUGACACUA
rnacentral:rRNA from 1 species